rnacentral:rRNA from 1 species
UUGGAGGGCAAGUCUGGUGCCAGCAGCCGCGGUAAUUCCAGCUCCAAUAGCGUAUAUUAAAGUUGUUGCAGUUAAAAAGCUCGUAGUUGAAUUUCGGGAUCAAAUUGUUGGUCGUGCUUCAGUACGCACUGGCAUUAUUGGUUCUUACCUUCUGAAGAACCGCGAUGUCAUUAAUUUGGUGUCGUGGGGAAUCAGGACUGUUACUUCGAAAAAAUUAGAGUGUUUAAAGCAGGCGCACGCUUGAAUACAUUAGCAUGGAAUAAUGAAAUAGGACGUUUGAUUCUAUUUUGUUGGUUUCUAGGAUCGACGUAAUGAUUAAUAGGGAUAGUUGGGGGCAUUAGUAUUCAAUUGUCAGAGGUGAAAUUCUUGGAUUUAUUGAAGACUAACUACUGCGAAAGCAUUUGCCAAGGAUGUUUUCAUUAAUCAAGAACGAAAGUUAGGGGAUCGAAGACGAUCAGAUACCGUCGUAGUCUUAACCAUAGACUAUGCCGACUAGGGAUCGGAUGAUGUUAAUUUUUUAAUGACUCAUUCGGCACCUUACGGGAAACCAAAG